UCGAGAAUCUUCCGCAAUGGGCGAAAGCCUGACGGAGCGACACCGCGUGCAGGACGAAGGCCCUCGGGUUGUAAACUGCUGUCACGCUCUAGGAACCCCAUGUCGUGAAUAGCGGCAUGGCUGACCAAGGCGAAAGGAAGUGGCGGCUAACUCUGUGCCAGCAGCCGCGGUAAGACAGAGGCCACGAACGUUGUUCGGAAUCACUGGGCAUAAAGCGCACGUAGGCGGCUAGGUCCGUCCGAUGUGAAAGCCCCCGGCUCAACCGGGGAAUUGCAUCGGAUACAGCCUGGCUUGAGGACGGUUGGGGUGAGUGGAACUCCUGGUGGAGCGGUGAAAUGCGUAGAUAUCAGGAGGAACACCGGUGGCGAAAGCGGCUCACUGGACCGUUACUGACGCUGAGGUGCGAAAGCUAGGGGAGCAAACGGGGAUUAGAUACCCUGGUAGUCCCUGAGCGGGCUGGCAAGGCGCAU
rnacentral:rRNA from 1 species